UACGUAGGGGGCAAGCGUUGUCCGGAAUCAUUGGGCGUAAAGAGCGUGUAGGCGGUUCGGUAAGUCGGCUGUGAAAGUCCAGGGCUCAACCCUGGGAUGCCGGUCGAUACUGCCGGACUAGAGUUCGGAAGAGGCGAGUGGAAUUCCCGGUGUAGCGGUGAAAUGCGCAGAUAUCGGGAGGAACACCUAUGGCGAAGGCAGCUCGCUGGGACGUUACUGACGCUGAGGCGCGAAAGCCGGGGGAGCAAACAGG
rnacentral:rRNA from 1 species